CGGGUGAGUAAUGUCUGGGAAACUGCCUGAUGGAGGGGGAUAACUACUGGAAACGGUAGCUAAUACCGCAUAACGUCGUAAGACCAAAGAGGGGGACCUUCGGGCCUCUUGCCAUCAGAUGUGCCCAGAUGGGAUUAGCUAGUAGGUGGGGUAACGGCUCACCUAGGCGACGAUCCCUAGCUGGUCUGAGAGGAUGACCAGCCACACUGGGACUGAGACACGGCCCAGACUCCUACGGGAGGCAGCAGUGGGGAAUAUUGGACAAUGGGCGAAAGCCUGAUCCAGCAAUGCCGCGUGAGUGAUGAAGGCCUUAGGGUUGUAAAGCUCUUUUACCCGGGAUGAUAAUGACAGUACCGGGAGAAUAAGCUCCGGCUAACUCCGUGCCAGCAGCCGCGGUAAU
rnacentral:rRNA from 1 species